rnacentral:rRNA from 1 species
UACGUAGGUGGCAAGCGUUGUCCGGAAUUAUUGGGCGUAAAGCGCGCGCAGGCGGUCCUUUAAGUCUGAUGUGAAAGCCCACGGCUCAACCGUGGAGGGUCAUUGGAAACUGGGGGACUUGAGUGCAGGAGAGAAGAGUGGAAUUCCAGGUGUAGCGGUGAAAUGCGUAGAUAUCAGGAGGAACACCGGUGGUGUAGACGGCUUUCUGGACCGUAACUGACGCUGAGACACGAAAGCGUGGGUAGCAAACAGGAUUAG